rnacentral:lncRNA from 1 species
CCCGUCUCUACUAAAAAUACAAAAAUUAGAUGGGCGUGGUGGCGCGUGCCUGUAGUCCCAGUUACUCAGGAGGCUGAGGAAGGAGAAGCAUUUGAACCUGGGAGGCAGACAGGUUUUGCCUAUUUUCAAUGCUAAUACAUAAUUAAACUUCCAUCUAUGUUUUAAGAUUGGUUUUCUCAACCAAGUCUGAUGAAUUAUAUAAUUUGUGAUGUACCUGUUGACAAAUCAUGCUUCUUUUACAUAAUUAAAGUAAAUGAAACAGUAUGCAUCGCUUAUUAGCUGGGUGUUUAAAAAAUCUUACAGUCAAUUUUUAUAACAUAUAACAUGCAAAAAUGACAAAAUGGGGUGCUUUUUUCUAGAAAUUUCUACAGGAUGGGGAGGGGUAAGAGAUUGCACACUUUCGGAAGGAAAUAGCAGGUGCAAACUUUUGCAAAGCACCUCUCUGCAUUACACACCCUCCUCCCCUCUCCACCUCAUGUGACCAUGGACAAAUCAGACACAUUGGGAAAGACACACUCUAAUCUGUUUCCAUGGCCCUGUGAGAAGGAAGUGCAAAGUCGUUCUGAGUUCCAGAACAAGAAAUAUCUUUAGAUGUUGAAAUGGCU